rnacentral:tRNA from 1 species
GCAGCGUCUACUGGGUCGGCCUCGUCGGCGGGCUGCUCGUCGGGCAGCUGCUCGGCGGCGUCAUCGCCGAGCGGUUCGGGGCGGCGGCGCCGUUC